rnacentral:rRNA from 1 species
UUGAUCAUGGCUCAGGACGAACGCUGGCGGCGUGCCUAAUACAUGCAAGUAGAACGCUGAAGAGAGGAGCUUGCUCUUCUUGGAUGAGUUGCGAACGGGUGAGUAACGCGUAGGUAACCUGCCUUGUAGCGGGGGAUAACUAUUGGAAACGAUAGCUAAUACCGCAUAACAAUAGGUGACACAUGUCAUUUAUUUGAAAGGGGCAAUUGCUCCACUACAAGAUGGACCUGCGUUGUAUUAGCUAGUAGGUGAGGUAACGGCUCACCUAGGCGACGAUACAUAGCCGACCUGAGAGGGUGAUCGGCCAUACUGGGACUGAGACACGGCCCAGACUCCUACGGGAGGCAGCAGUAGGGAAUCUUCGGCAAUGGGGGCAACCCUGACCGAGCAACGCCGCGUGAGUGAAGAAGGUUUUCGGAUCGUAAAGCUCUGUUGUAAGUCAAGAACGAGUGUGAGAGUGGAAAGUUCACACUGUGACGGUAGCUUACCAGAAAGGGACGGCUAACUACGUGCCAGCAGCCGCGGUAAUACGUAGGUCCCGAGCGUUGUCCGGAUUUAUUGGGCGUAAAGCGAGCGCAGGCGGUUUGAUAAGUCUGAAGUUAAAGGCUGUGGCUCAACCAUAGUUCGCUUUGGAAACUGUCAAACUUGAGUGCAGAAGGGGGGAGUGGAAUUCCAUGUGUAGCGGUGAAAUGCGUAGAUAUAUGGAGGAACACCGGUGGCGAAAGCGGCUCUCUGGUCUGUAACUGACGCUGAGGCUCGAAAGCGUGGGGAGCGAACAGGAUUAGAUACCCUGGUAGUCCACGCCGUAAACGAUGAGUGCUAGGUGUUGGAUCCUUUCCGGGAUUCAGUGCCGCAGCUAACGCACUAAGCACUCCGCCUGGGGAGUACGACCGCAAGGUUGAAACUCAAAGGAAUUGACGGGGGCCCGCACAAGCGGUGGAGCAUGUGGUUUAAUUCGAAGCAACGCGAAGAACCUUACCAGGUCUUGACAUCCCGAUGCUAUUUCUAGAGAUAGAAAGUUACUUCGGUACAUCGGUGACAGGUGGUGCAUGGUUGUCGUCAGCUCGUGUCGUGAGAUGUUGGGUUAAGUCCCGCAACGAGCGCAACCCCUAUUGUUAGUUGCCAUCAUUCAGUUGGGCACUCUAGCGAGACUGCCGGUAAUAAACCGGAGGAAGGUGGGGAUGACGUCAAAUCAUCAUGCCCCUUAUGACCUGGGCUACACACGUGCUACAAUGGUUGGUACAACGAGUUGCGAGUCGGUGACGGCAAGCUAAUCUCUUAAAGCCAAUCUCAGUUCGGAUUGUAGGCUGCAACUCGCCUACAUGAAGUCGGAAUCGCUAGUAAUCGCGGAUCAGCACGCCGCGGUGAAAUACGUUCCCGGGCCUUGCACACACCGCCCGUCA